rnacentral:rRNA from 1 species
AGAGUUUGAUCAUGGCUCAGAAUCAACGCUGGCGGCGUGCCUCAGACAUGCAAGUCGAACGAUUAAGACUUCCUUCGGGAAGUGCAUAAAGUGGCGCACGGGUGAGUAACACGUAAGUAAUCUGCCCUCGAGUGGGGAAUAACGUCCGGAAACGGACGCUAAUACCGCAUAACGCAGCGGCACCUAAUGGUGACAGUUGUUAAAGGAGCAAUCCGCUUGAGGAGGAGCUUGCGGCAGAUUAGCUAGUUGGUAAGGUAAUGGCUUACCAAGGCUACGAUCUGUAACCGGUCUAAGAGGACGGUCGGUCACACUGACACUGAAUAACGGGUCAGACUCCUACGGGAGGCAGCAGUCGGGAAUUUUGGGCAAUGGGCGAAAGCCUGACCCAGCAACGCCGCGUGAAGGAUGAAGUAUUUCGGUAUGUAAACUUCGAAAGAAUGGGAAGAAACAAAUGACGGUACCAUUUAUAAGGUCCGGCUAACUACGUGCCAGCAGCCGCGGUAAUACGUAGGGACCAAGCGUUGUUCGGAUUUACUGGGCGUAAAGGGCGCGUAGGCGGCAAUUCAAGUCAUCUGUGAAAUCUCCGGGCUUAACUCGGAACUGUCAGAUGAUACUGCUUUGCUAGAGUGCGGAAGGGGCAGUCGGAAUUCUUGGUGUAGCGGUGAAAUGCGUAGAUAUCAAGAGGAACACCUGAGGUGAAGACGGGUUGCUGGGCCGACACUGACGCUGAUAGCGCGAAAGCCAGGGGAGCAAACGGGAUUAGAUACCCCGGUAGUCCUGGCCUUAAACGAUGAAUACUUGGUGUCUGGAGUCUUUAAAGCUCCGGUGCCGUCGCUAACGUUUUUAGUAUUCCGCCUGGGGAGUACGCUCGCAAGAGUGAAACUCAAAGAAUGACGGGACCCGCACAGCGGUGGAGCAUGUGGUUUAAUUCGACGCAACGCGAAGAACCUUACCUGGACUAGAAUGGUGAGGAAGCUUGGGUAACGCCAA